UACGAAGGUCCCAAGCGUUAUCCGGAUUUAUUGGGUUUAAAGGGUGCGUAGGCGGCUUAUUAAGUCAGUGGUGAAAGCUCCAUGCUUAACGUGGAAAUUGCCAUUGAUACUGAUGAGCUUGAGUGUAUUUGAAGUGGGCGGAAUGUGUCGUGUAGCGGUGAAAUGCUUAGAUAUGACACAGAACACCGAUUGCGUAGGCAGCUCACUAAACUACAACUGACGCUGAGGCACGAAAGCAUGGGGGAUCAAACAGG
rnacentral:rRNA from 1 species